rnacentral:rRNA from 1 species
CCCUUAGAUGUUCUGGGCCGCACGCGUGCUACACUGAGUGGAUCAGCGGGUCAGGUUGCGCGAAAGCGUUUCCUAAUCUUUAAAUCCGCUCGUGAUGGGGAUUGACGGUUGCAAUUUUCUGUCAUGAACGAGGAAUACCUUGUAAGCGCGGGUCAUCAUCCCGCGCUGAAUACGUCCCUGCCCUUUGUACACACCGCCCGUCGCUCCUACCGAUUGAGUGGUCCGGUGAGGCUUUGGGAUCAGAGCGGAAAGAGCGUUUCGCUGUUUCUGCUCGGAAAACUCAGUCGAACCUUAUCAUUUAGAGGAAGGAGAAGUCGUAACA